GGACUACAAGGGUUUCUAAUCCCGUUCGCUCCCCUGGCUUUCGCACCUCAGCGUCAGUUGCUUCCCAGGACACUGCCUUCGCCUUUGGUGUUCCUCCGGAUAUCUACGCAUUUCACCACUCCACCCGGAAUUCCGUGUCCCUCUGAAGCCCUCAAGUCUGCCAGUUUUCCCGCUCCUUCCUCAGUUAAGCCGAGGACUGUCAGCGGAAACUUCGCAGACCGCCUGCGUGCGCUUUACGCCCAGUAACUCCGGACAACGCUCGCCUCCUACGUAUUACCGCGGCUGCUGGCAC
rnacentral:rRNA from 1 species